UGCCCAGCAUCAGCCUGUCACCAAAGAAGU
rnacentral:piRNA from 1 species